GUCUUCCAUUUGAUGAAGAACGUUGCCAUCUGUUGUUUUCCUUCUCUUUUUCCCUCCGCGGUUCCUCACUCGGGCUUGCAUGUCCCAUCGUAGAAAGCCGGCAGUGCAACCAAAGACCCAGCCCUUUGUUUACUGUUGUUCAUUUAAUAGGUAUUUGAGCUGAAACAACGAUUGCGGGAGAAUCUAAAACUCAGGUGGAAACUCCAUUUGAUCCUUUUGCUCAAAUUUCAGUCAAGCUGAUUGUAUUCUUGGUAUAUUAGCUCUGAAAAGGUGCCAUGACUCGAAAAAGAAGAAUUAGGGAGAUUUCCUCGCUCACCCCUCUCUUGAGUAGUGCGGGUGACAAAGAAGGUGUUUCAAUUGCAGGCCCCAGUAUGCAGGGAGGAGAGCCUGCAUGUGGAAGGGUUCGUAGUGCCAAACAUGGUAGGAGGGAGGUCUUGGCCAGUGCAUGUGUUGAACCAGUGCUUGAUAGUGGGGUAGAUGCUCUUAGGUGCCAUCAGAAUAAUGUUGGACAAGCGGCAUAUCAAAGGGGAAGGCGAAUAAGAGGUUCAGCCAGCAUGUAUCAAGAUAUGGGAGAUAUGACCAAUAUAUGUAUUGAUUGUGAUGCAAUGUAUUGGUCAAACGAAUCUA